ACCAUGAAGAGUUUGAUCCUGGCUCAGGAUAAACGCUAGCGGCAGGCCUAACACAUGCAAGUCGAGGGGCAGCGGGGGUAGCAAUACCUGCCGGCGACCGGCGGACGGGUGCGCAACGCGUG
rnacentral:rRNA from 1 species